AGAUGUGAGGGCCAUCUGGCUGCAACAUUUAUCACUCCAUUGAUCUCCAGGGUUGAUUUGGUGGAUCUGGCUGGCUAGGCAGGGGUCCCUUUCCUCCCUCACCAUUCCAUGUGUAUCCCUUCCAAAGAUGCACUCGAGGUGGGAGAGGAUGACCUUCCACCAUAGAGAAAGACAGUUCAUUUUUUGGUCAAGGGUAUACAAGAAGUUGCUCUCCCCUAGUAGAACCUCCAAAAUAAUCUCACAAGUAAGCCUUACCCUAUUUGAUUUUACAGAAUUGAAACAUUUGUAUUAGUGAAAAGGUGAACAUACAGAUCAGUGGAACAGAAUAAAUAGUGUGUCU
rfam:Felis catus isolate Cinnamon breed Abyssinian chromosome F2, whole genome shotgun sequence.